ACUGGGUGCGGUGGCCUACACCUGUAAUCCCUAUGGCUAGGGAGAUUGAGGCAGGAGGAUCGCAAGUUCAAAGCCAGCCUCAGUAGUAGUAAGGCCCUAACCAACUUAGUGAGACCCUGUCUCUA
rnacentral:sRNA from 1 species